rnacentral:rRNA from 1 species
CCUACGGGAGGCAGCAGUGGGGAAUAUUGCACAAUGGGGGAAACGCUGAUGCAGCGACGCCGCGUGAGUGAAGAAGUAUCUCGGUACGUAAAGCUCUAUCAGCAGGGAAGAAAAUGACGGUACCUGACUAAGAAGCCCCGGCUAACCACGUGCCAGCAGCCGCGGUAAUACGUAGGGGGCAAGCGUUAUCCGGAUUUACGGGGUGUAAAGGGAGCGUAGACGGCAGCACAAGUCUGGAGUGAAAUCCCGGGGCUUAACCCCGGAACUGCUUUGGAAACUGUGCGGCUGGAGUGCAGGAGGGGUAAGCGGAAUGCGUAGUGUAGCGGUGAAAUGCGUAGAUAUUAGGAGGAACACCGAUGGCGAAGGCGGCUUACUGGACUGUAACUGACGUUGAGGCUCGAAAGCGUGGGGAGCAAACAGGAUUAGAUACCCGAGUAGUC